CACCUAUUACUUCCUCUCAUCUUUCUCUUACAUCAUCACUAUGCUUCCUGCACAUACCCUGUUCCUGUACUCCCAGACCAGCGUGGUUGGCUGAAAAUGGAAUUGAUGAGCUGGGAGGAAACAGCUGCUUUGGAGAAAUGCCACGUUCCAGAUAUGGGGCUCAGUGAGCUGAUUGUGUAGAGGCUGAGGAUGAAGACUGACUCCCCACCCCCAUGAAAUGAUCGGGGCUGAAGUGGAAAAAUGAAGUACUGUAACUGAAUCUUGAAAAUGGUCUGUAAUGAAACAUCUUGGACCUGAGCCCCAAGGACAGUAGGGUGAAGUUGGGAAGCCAGGAAGUCCAUGUUGCAACAUGAGGAAGUUGGGGGCAAGAACUCUGAAGACAAGAUUGGCUGGUUUCGCUUCUCCCUCCUCACCCUGGAUCCCUUAUAGGAAUCACAGAUGGAUGAUUUGAGAUGAGCCUUAAAGGAAAGGAAGAUGUAUCUUUCUCUCCACCAGCAUCAACUGUAAGAGAGAAUUUGGGGCCUGAAGAUUAAAAGAUUUGUCCCAUCUCCAAUCUGCAUUACAAAGACUCUUUGAAGUUAUGUCCAGGGAAGGGUAUACUAAAAACAGGAUAAAUAAUAAAACUAGAUUGAAUGGA